UACAGAGGGUGCAAGCGUUAAUCGGAAUUACUGGGCGUAAAGCGCAUGUAGGUGGACUGUUAAGUUUGAUGUGAAAGCCCUGGGCUUAACCUGGGAAUGGCGUUGAAGACUGGCAGACUAGAGUCGGACAGAGGGCCGUGGAAUUCCGGUGUAGCGGUGAAAUGCGUAGAGAUCGGAAAGAACACCAGUGGCGAAGGCGGCGGCCUGGGUCCAAACUGACACUGAGGUGCGAAAGCGUGGGGAG
rnacentral:rRNA from 1 species